GAUGAAGAACGUAGCGAAAUGCGAUAAGUAAUGCGAAUUGCAGAAUUCAGUGAGUCAUCGAAUCUUUGAACGCACAUUGCGCCCUGUGGUAUUCCGCAGGGCAUGCCUGUUCGAGCGUCAUUUCAACCCUCAAGCCUCGCUUGGUGUUGGGCCCUGCCCGCCGCGGCCGGCCCUAAAGAUAGUGGCGGCGCCGCCUGGCCCUCAGCGUAGUACAGCUCUCGCUCCAGGGUCCGGCGGCAGCCUGCCAGAACCCCCCAACUCUGUGGUUGACCUCGGAUCAGGUAGGGAUACCCGCCGAACUUAAGCAUAUCAAUAAGCGGAGGA
rnacentral:misc_RNA from 1 species